GAGGGUAUAGCUCAGUAGGUAGAGUGCGUGCCUAGCAUGCAUGAGGCCCUGGGUUCAAUCCCCAGUACCCCCA
rnacentral:tRNA from 1 species